UCUUACUUGCACUUAGUUUACAUGGUUUAUCAGGCUUACUAGUACAUAUUUUUUCCAGAUCUCUCUUGGAGACCUUUUAAAGCAAUGGUGUCCAACUUGCCCCUUAUUAAAAAGACUGUUUACUUACCACAGAUUUCUGGUGUGUGUGAAUUCAUAACACCAAGUUCCCAAGCCCAUUUUAUGAGUGGGAGAGGAUACUGAAGUAGAAAAAAUUACCUUCCAGUUCAGCAUAGUUAACAUUUUAAAUUUUAUUCAGGUUAAGAUAAAAAUCUAUGUUCCCAAUACUGUAUGAUAGAUUCAUCUAUCCAGUUUUGUCACAUUGUGCAGCAACAGGAAAAAUGUCCUCCACAACAAUUUUAUGAACAGCAGCUUGAAACUCCUUUUGUUCUAUUUUUUUUUUUAUAAAAAAAAAGAAAAAAAAAGUCAAAAAUUCCAUAUUAUCUUUAAUUUUGCCAGUUGUCAGAUGAUGAGAAAAUAGAAGAGCCUCAGUUCUUUCCAUGGCAAUUCCAGGGCAAUCCAAACCACCACUUCUGGGACC